UUCAUAUCGACUCAGCUCCAGCCAUUGUGUCCACAUGACUAUUUAAUGGACAUAGGAAAGCCUGCCGAAACACAGAGAAGACUGCGCGUGGUUUAUAACGUGGCAUGUCUCCCUGGAGGAAAAGCCUGGGAAAGUCCCUGAAUUGGUGAGGUACUGAAUUGCGAGCAAGAUGGCAAAACCACUUGAUCCUAUGACUGCCAUAUCAAAUCUCGACAUCAGGUUAAAGCAGCUCAUUCUAGAAGAAGCUAGAAUAGAGGAGAAAUUGAAGGCCAUCGAACAACAGGAGAUAGCACAUAGAGCACGCGUGAAACAAUUAUGUAAGUUCUGUAGCUCCUCCCAACAGAGUGAUGAAUCAUUAUGUUAUCAUUCUGGGUCAUGAAAUGUUUUCCACGUGUAAUGCU